rnacentral:lncRNA from 1 species
ACUAUUUGUCUAUUCUCAAAGACCAUCCAAGGGAACUCCCAGACGACCAUGACUUCCUUGUCACCAGCUAUGCUUUUGUCUUCACUUGUUGCAACUGUGCAGUGAUCUUUUCUUGUACAUCUUCCCUCUCAGAGAUAGCCGACAAGAUAUACAAUCUGUACAAUGGGUACACAAGUGGAAAGGAGCAGCAGACUGCCUACAAUACGCUGAUGGAAGUCUCAGCCUCAAUGCUGUUCAGAGUCCAGCACCACUACAACUCUCACUAUGAAAAGUUUGGCGAUUUUGUCUGGCGCAGUGAGGAUGAACUGGGACCCAGAAAGCACUGUGUUUAGAGGAACUAAAGAAUUUCCGUGUAUUUGCAGCAAAGUGUCUGACAGCAGGAGAGGUAAGAGAUAAGGCAGAGGUCACCAGGGGCCAGAUCUUGAAUGCCCUUUAAGUAGAGUUAAGCAGUUUGGAUUAUCUCCCUAGGGUAAUAGCUUUUCAAGUGUUUUUGCUCUGAGAGGGGAGAGGCUAGAGGGUGGGAGGGACCUUCAAGAUAUAAAGAUCACUCUGGCUUCAGUGGGAAGCAAGGGAUGCAGUGAGGCCCUAAAUGCUGCUGGGAUAGUCCCAGGGAGGCAGUGUAACAUCCUCAGCUGGCUGGAUAACAUUAGUGGCACUGGAAGAAGUGGAAAGAAUUGGUGACUUCCUGAAAUAGUGAGUGGAUGACACUAUGUGUUUUAAACACUUCCAAAUGAAGAUGUAGGACCCUCAUCUUAUAUUUCGGAUGAUGAGGAAGUGGUGGUCCCUUGGGGCUGUGUGAGCUGCGGAGAGAUGCUCAGUUUGGCCUGGAAGUUGGUUCUGCCUUGAACUCUCACUCUGAGCCCUUAAAACACUUGGAAAGAUCUUCUGAGAAUUUGAGGCCCUUGAGGGAUAAGAUGAGAUGAAAUGAGAGCUUAGUUAAAUGAUAAAAGGGAUCUCCCCAGGAGCAGGCUUUAUGAGUUCUGUUGGGUCCUGUACUUUAACUCUCUCCCUUUCACAUGAAAGGAAGGUUCUUUAGAUAAAAGCUAAAAGAAGUGGACUGGCAGGCAGAAACACAGAGCCCCAGAUGAAAGUCUCUGUGUUAGUCAUCUUGGCUGCCAUCUUGCCCAUGAACCAAUAAGGUAUUCCACUUUAUUGGGCUUUCCCACAGGGUUUAGGGAGUAUGGGUACAAGUUAAACCAGAGCUCCAUUCCUGACGUUGUCUUUACAACCUGCUAGGAUCCUUUAUGACCCACCCAGGCAUAAAUCUUCCAGAAAUGGCUCCUGGCUGCCCAGAGAGACAGAGCAACCCACCCGGUAGUGGAUUGUGAUGACUCACUGCCUCCCGUCAGCCUGUACCCAACCACUGUCCACCAACCCAACCCAUGACGCCCACCAUCUUCCUUCCCUGGCCUUUCUAGCCUCCCAGAAGGGAUCUGAGAUUGCCCCAACAUCCCACAUUCUCGUGUCAGCAAGAAUUUAAAAAGUGGCAUCCUAAUCCAUCUUGGUCCUGUUAAUAAACUCACUGCGCAACUGUGUCCUUGCCCCUUUCUGGCCUUAAAUCUUAUCUAUAAAAUGAUCUGGAUAAACUAAUGGAGCCGAUUCUUUUUAUCAGUGGAAUUAUUUUUUCCGUAUACCUUUCAUAGAACCUGAAGUCUUAGAUACAAUGCCACCUUCUCGGAGAAUUCCCUAAAAUGUCUGCCCACUUGAUCGUUUCAGCAUCAUGUUUUAAUUCUCUCCCUGAACUCACUGGUUUUAGUGCCUAUAGCUUACGGGUAUACUUAUGCAUUACUUCUCUUCCCACUACCAUGUAAGUUGUACAUGAUUACUGAAGUUACAAGCUAUUCAUUUUUUAUUAGUACAUGUUUGUAAUGCACAAUGA